rnacentral:rRNA from 1 species
UACGUAGGGGGCAAGCGUUGUCCGGAAUUAUUGGGCGUAAAGAGCGCGUAGGCGGUCCGAUAAGUCGUCUGUGAAAGUCCAGGGCUCAACCCUGGAAAGCCUGACGAUACUGUCGGACUAGAGUCCGGAAGAGGCAAGUGGAAUUCCCGGUGUAGCGGUGAAAUGCGCAGAUAUCGGGAGGAACACCAAUGGCGAAGGCAGCUUGCUGGGACGGUACUGACGCUGAGGCGCGAAAGCGUGGGGAGCAAACAGG